rnacentral:rRNA from 1 species
UACGUAGGGGGCAAGCGUUGUCCGGAUUUACUGGGCGUAAAGAGCGUGUAGGCGGCCACGCAGGUCCGUUGUGAAAACUGGAGGCUACAACCUUCAGACGUCGACGGAAACCGUGUGGCUAGAGUCCGGAAGAGGAGAGUGGAAUUCCUGGUGUAGCGGUGAAAUGCGUAGAUAUCAGGAGGAACACCUGUGGUGUAGACGGCUCUCUGGACAGUAACUGACGCUGAGACACGAAAGCGUGGGUAGCAAACAGG